rnacentral:rRNA from 1 species
GCGGUGGAGCAUGUAGGUUUAAUUCGAAGCAACGACGAAGAACCUUACCUAGGUCUUGACAUCCCGAUGCUAUUUCUAGAGAUAGAAAGUUACUUCGGUACAUCGGUGACAGGUGGUGCAUGGUUGUCGUCAGCUCGUGUCGUGAGAUGUUGGGUUAAGUCCCGCAACGAGCGCAACCCCUAUUGUUAGUUGCCAUCAUUCAGUUGGGCACUCUAGCGAGACUGCCGGUAAUAAACCGGAGGAAGGUGGGAUGACGUCAAAUCAUCAUGCCCCUUAUGACCUGGGCUACACACGUGCUGCAAUGGUUGGUACAACGAGUUGCGAGUCGGUGACGGCGAGCUAAUCUCUUAAAGCCAAUCUCAGUUCGGAUUGUAGGCUGCAACUCGCCUACAUGAAGUCGGAAUCGCUAGUAAUCGCGGAUCAGCACGCCGCGGUGAAUACGUUCCCGGGCCUU